rnacentral:rRNA from 1 species
CAUCGUUUACUGUGAAAAAAUUAGAGUGUUUAAAGCAGGCUUAUGCCGUUGAAUAUAUUAGCAUGGAAUAAUAAGAUAGGACUUUGAGUCUAUUUUGUUGGUUUGCGAGUCAAAGUAAUGAUUAAUAGGGACAGUUGGGGGUAUUCGUAUUUCAUUGUCAGAGGUGAAAUUCUUGGAUUU